GAUGAAGAACGUAGUGAAAUGCGAUAAGUAAUGUGAAUUGCAGAAUUCAGUGAAUCAUCGAAUCUUUGAACGCACAUUGUGCCCGCCAGUAUUCUGGCGGGCAUGCCUGUCUGAGCGUCAUUUCAACCCUCAUGCCCCUAGGGCGUGGUGUUGGGGAUCGGCCAAAGCCCGCGAGGGACGGCCGGCCCCUAAAUCUAGUGGCGGACCCGUCGUGGCCUCCUCUGCGAAGUAGUGAUAUUCCGCAUCGGAGAGCGAUGAGCCCCUGCCGUUAAACCCCCAACUUUCCAAGGUUGACCUCAGAUCAGGUAGGAAUACCCGCUGAACUUAAGCAUAUCAAUAAGCGGAGGA
rnacentral:misc_RNA from 1 species